GAUGAACGCUGGCGGCGUGCCUAAUACAUGCAAGUCGAGCGAACGGACGAGAAGCUUGCUUCUCUGAUGUUAGCGGCGGACGGGUGAGUAACACGUGGAUAACCUACCUAUAAGACUGGGAUAACUUCGGGAAACCGGAGCUAAUACCGGAUGAUAUUUUGAACCGCAUGGUUCAAAAGUGAAAGACGGUCUUGCUGUCACUUAUAGAUGGAUCCGCGCUGCAUUAGCUAGUUGGUAAGGUAACGGCUUACCAAGGCAACGAUGCAUAGCCGACCUGAGAGGGUGAUCGGCCACACUGGAACUGAGACACGGUCCAGACUCCUACGGGAGGCAGCAGUAGGGAAUCUUCCGCAAUGGGCGAAAGCCUGACGGAGCAACGCCGCGUGAGUGAUGAAGGUCUUCGGAUCGUAAAACUCUGUUAUUAGGGAAGAACAAAUGUGUAAGUAACUAUGCACGUCUUGACGGUACCUAAUCAGAAAGCCACGGCUAACUACGUGCCAGCAGCCGCGGUAAUACGUAGGUGGCAAGCGUUAUCCGGAAUUAUUGGGCGUAAAGCGCGCGUAGGCGGUUUUUUAAGUCUGAUGUGAAAGCCCACGGCUCAACCGUGGAGGGUCAUUGGAAACUGGAAAACUUGAGUGCAGAAGAGGAAAGUGGAAUUCCAUGUGUAGCGGUGAAAUGCGCAGAGAUAUGGAGGAACACCAAUGGCGAAGGCGACUUUCUGGUCUGUAACUGACGCUGAUGUGCGAAAGCGUGGGGAUCAAACAGGAUUAGAUACCCUGGUAGUCCACGCCGUAAACGAUGAGUGCUAAGUGUUAGGGGGUUUCCGCCCCUUAGUGCUGCAGCUAACGCAUUAAGCACUCCGCCUGGGGAGUACGACCGCAAGGUUGAAACUCAAAGGAAUUGACGGGGACCCGCACAAGCGGUGGAGCAUGUGGUUUAAUUCGAAGCAACGCGAAGAACCUUACCAAAUCUUGACAUCCUCUGACCCCUCUAGAGAUAGAGUUUUCCCCUUCGGGGGACAGAGUGACAGGUGGUGCAUGGUUGUCGUCAGCUCGUGUCGUGAGAUGUUGGGUUAAGUCCCGCAACGAGCGCAACCCUUAAGCUUAGUUGCCAUCAUUAAGUUGGGCACUCUAAGUUGACUGCCGGUGACAAACCGGAGGAAGGUGGGGAUGACGUCAAAUCAUCAUGCCCCUUAUGAUUUGGGCUACACACGUGCUACAAUGGACAAUACAAAGGGCAGCGAAACUGCGAGGUCAAGCAAAUCCCAUAAAGUUGUUCUCAGUUCGGAUUGUAGUCUGCAACUCGACUAUAUGAAGCUGGAAUCGCUAGUAAUCGUAGAUCAGCAUGCUACGGUGAAUACGUUCCCGGGUCU
rnacentral:rRNA from 1 species